rnacentral:misc_RNA from 1 species
AAAAGUGCACCUUAGCGCCAUGAGGCUGUUCGUCGUUUUGUCCGUCUGUAUCGCUGUUUCCUCAGCAUACCCCAAUCUUGUAGACCUAGCCGCAGCAAACAAUGCCACCAAGUUGGUCGCCCUCCUCAACAGCGCUGGUCUAGCCGACAUCCUGAAGGAUCCCAGUCAAGGUAGGCAAUGAAUUUUUAUUGAUUCGUUCAAAAGUACCCUAAGAACCUCUCAUAACCCUUCUUACGAUGAAAGGGUGUGAGAGUGAAUUAUUGUGUGUAUAGACAUUUUUGUGCCUGAAUUUCGUCUUACAUUCUGUUAUAUCUAUCUCACUAUUUUGUUCAAUGUAAAAGUAGUGUCCCUAGUUGACAAAAUAAUAGAGUAUGAAUCCUAUAAUCAUGUCCAACCAUUCGUUUUAUUCAAAUGCCCUUUUUAUGUAUUAUGACUUUUGUCGUAUUAUUGAAUGCACAAGGUUUGACGAAAUAAUUACAAUUUAGGUAUGAAAAACAAUAACGUCAAUUAUAAUUUUCAAUGAUUUUAUUAUGAGUGUGAUGCUCACUUGAGCUGAGCGCAAGUAGAAUAAUGGGUACUUUAUCAUACCAAACCGUGGCGAGAGUAAGUUGCUCUUGCUGCCGUAAUUAAGUGGUCUCAUCAACAUUGGUUGAAUACCUAUAUUCGUGGAUUUCGUUGUUGCGUUGAUCCACGAUAUGGGCCACAUUUUUCAUUACUCAUUGUAUUAAGAGAAUCAUUAUCCACGAAUUUACCUAUUUUUGAAACUGUUAUUUUCGUUAAAUCCACGAAUAUUGAUGAAACUAUAGUAAUGAUCAUUUCAAAAUACUUUGCAGGACCGUUCACGUUACUCGCUCCCUCCGAUGCCGCUUUUGGUAAAAUACCCGACAGCGAUCUGCAAGCAUUGAAGGCAGACAAUGCUAAACUACAGGAAGUACUGAAAUACCACGUGAUGAAGGGCGAGAUCUUUGAAUGGGAUCUUCUAAACCAUGAAGUGAUUUCUAGUUUGAAUGGACACUCCAUUCGAGUUUAUGUCAGAAAUAGCAUGGGUGGUCAGGUACGGUUAUUUUAGGUCAGCUUUGCAAUAAUGACCACAACCAAAAUUGAUAUUGCUUUAUUAGUACGUGUAUAUACGUUCUUUUUUUUUGCUUUUGUAGAGUACUUAUUUUAACCAAGCCAAAGUCGUAAUAUCCGAGUUGCAAGCUUCCAAUGGUGUUCUCUAUCUUAUCGAUGAAGUCCUGAACAUGCCAGAGGGGACCAUCGACGAUAUCUUGCUGAACCCCGAUUACAACAUCAACAGCUUCAUGGAUUUCGUCAAGGCUGCUGGCCUUACACAGGUCUUUAACAGAACCACCGGUAACCGCUACACGAUGUUUGUACCCACCAACCAAGCUCUUGCUUCUAUGGAUCAAGGAUUUUUGACCCAGAUUAAGAACAAUCGCAUAAAUGCACGACGUAAGUUAAAACUAUAAGUGAAACUUUGGUGUUUGAACCAGAAAGGC